GAGGGCAAAACUCCCUGGAGGGAUUCAGGUGAUGAGUCCUGGCAACUUGAAGAUUCUCCCAGGUGACACCAGGCUGGGCGCUGUCACCGGCCCAGCUACCCCACCAGGCAGCAGGACUGAGCUCUGUCCGACCCACCGUGGGGUGCAGCAGGGAGAUAAAACUCUGUUCUUCUCUGCAAUGGACUCUGUCUGGGGGUUUCCAGUGCUCUCUUAAAGCUGGGCUACUUUAUUUAUCAUUUCCCUUGAGGAAUAAUUUCCAGGCUCUCUUGCCCCCAUACUGAUCCCUGCCAGUGACACAGGGCAAUGGGGCUGACCUCAGCCCUUUCCCAACACAGGAUUAGCUAAGCUGGCUCCUCAGAGACACAGCCCAAACCCAUGCCAGCUCCCCUAAAUCUCCAGAGAUCCACGAUUUCACCACUGCUCUCCUCCUCCAAGGUUUAAGUUUGUGCUGUGUGGGAGCACUGAGCAAUUCUGGCAUUUCUCAGUUGGUGCUGAUGGUGGACGAGGCCUUGUCCAGGUGAACCCAGGCUGCACAUGGCCAGGACAGGGAUUUGGGAGAAGCUGAUCAGCAGAGAGUGGUCCUGCUGGAGUGUGCCAGGCCAUUUCCUCCAGGAACUGGAAGCAAGAUGGGAUCAGAGCAUUUCCAGGAUCCGGCUCUUGGUUCCAGGACUGCAAAGAUGACUCUGGGAAAUGGCAUGCAGUGAGUUUCCCUUCAGCCCUGGCACUGUACUGCCUGAGCUGAGGUUUUCCUCUGCUCUGCCCUGUCCUCCCUGCUGCUCCCACCCCUCCUCCUUGUUUUCCACGCCCUGCAGAGCCAGCUGAGCAGCGUGCUGUCAUAUUUUCUUCCAAAUGAAGCUUCCUACAGUAGUAAAAAAGAGAAAAUAUGGUUUGUGCCGCAAAUGAGAAAUGUCCAUGCCCUACUGCUCCCCUUCCCUGCAGGUAGGUCUGGGAAAGCUCCUGAGUCACCCUGGUCCCCCUUUGUUCCCAGCUGUGCCCAUGGGCCUGGGGGAGAUAGGGGAGUGACAACCUCCAGGUGAGUCUCCAACUCCUCUGGGCUGGGUUUGAAACCUCUGUUUGCAACCCCUUUUUUGCCCUGCUGGUGUCACCUGAUCACUGUUCAGAUGGUGUAGAGGGAAGAAGGAGUUUCCCAGUGUGAAACUCAAGGGGUGUGUGCAUGGUGCCAGGGAGGCACCAGCUGAGCAUUCUGUGCAGCUCCCAGGCAGCCAACAAACCUUUGACUGGUGACAUGACAGGACACGGUGGCUUCAGAGAGAGAGAUCAGUCUCCAGUGACCACCAGGAGCAGCCUCUGACACCCAACAUGGGAGCUGACUCCGUGCCCAAAAAUCCCAUGGCAAAUUCCUCAUGAACCUCUCUAGGAACUGGUCUGCUCUAUGGCCAAACACCACCUUCAGCACUGCAAAACUGCUCAUCCUCAGGGUGCUGGCACAGCAGUGAAGAGCUGCCUGAGAUUCCUCCUGCCUGCUGAGCACCAAGCACUGGGCAGAGACUCCUCCUGGGGUCCCUGUGGUUCCCCAUCCUGGGGUCCCCGUGGCUCCCCAUCCACGCUCAGCUAAUCUGCUGGAUUACAGUCCUUAUAUUUAACUGGAUUAGGUGACUGUUUCUGCAGUUACUGUUACUGUUUUGCACUGGCCGUAUUUAUAGGGUGCUCUGGUCAUAUUUAUAGGGCUGCAGAAUCAAGUUACAGCUUCAAGGGCUGCAGCCCUGUAGGUGACAGCAACCCUGGAUAAAGUGGAGGAGCAUCACCCAUCACUGCCAACACUUCCAGGGUGGCACGACAAACAGAAAACACCUCCCCGGUGGAGUGUACUGAAAUCUGCUUUGGGGGAACAGCCCUAAACUCUGAAAGGGGGCAGUUCACACAGCCCCUUGGGGUCCCUGUCCCCCUCCAUCCCAGCCUGGCUCGUUGGGAAGCUGCCAGCCCUGGAGCUGCCGUUAUGGCAGUAAACACCUUCCUGCGGCUGGUCAAAGUCCAGUGCCACCUCCUGCGUGCCAGAACCACCCUGCUGACCCCGCAGGGAAGCCUCUCUGCUCCUGGAGUCAACAAGGCAACUCCUCUGCUCAUCCUGGUCCGUGUCCUGGCUGUUGGUGUGGAGAUUAAAGCCCACAAUGGUGCUGAUUCAGCCCCAGCUAAAUGUUUGCUUUCACUCUGCACAGGCCCUGCUGGUCAGGACACCCUCAUGUCCACCUUUCCUGAGUGCAGAGUUGGUCCCUGAGGGCACACACGCUCCUAGCUGGAUUUAAGGGUGAUGAAUACUGAAGCACAUUAAGCAAACAAGCCCCCUCCAGCAGGAUCUCUUUGGCUGCAGCCAAUCUCAACCACGCUGCACGUUCUGAGGAGCUAAAAUUAGCUGUGUUCCCAUGCAGAGGCUGUGCUUGGAGCAUCACAGCUUUAGGAACUGCUGCUGCUGCUGCUGCUGC